rnacentral:rRNA from 1 species
GUGAGGAAUAUUGCGCAAUGGAGGCAACUCUGACGCAGCCAUGCCGCGUGCAGGAAGAAGGCGCUACGCGUUGUAAACUGCUUUUAACCGGGAAGAAACCCCAGGACGUGUCCUGGGUUGACGGUACCGGAGGAAUAAGCACCGACUAACUUCGUGCCAGCAGCCGCGGUAAUACGAAGGGUGCAAGCGUUAUCCGGAUUCAUUGGGUUUAAAGGGUGCGUAGGCGGAGCGUUAAGUCAGUGGUGAAAUCCUGCAGCUUAACUGUAGACUUGCCAUUGAUACUGGCGCUCUUGAGUGCGCUUGAAGUGGGCGGAAUGUGUCGUGUAGCGGUGAAAUGCUUAGAUAUGGCACAGAACACCAAUUGCGAAGGCAGCUCACUAAGGCGAUACUGACGCUGAGGCACGAAAGCGUGGGGAUCGAACAGGAUUAGAAACCCCUGUAGUCC